GUGGACUUCUCAUUUCUCUCUUCUUCUUCUUUUUUUUGGGUCUCUCUUAACACCAUUUCUGUUUUCUUCUCAGUGCAAGAACUCCAUUUCUCUCUCUUCUUCUUUUGAAACUUACCAGAAUAACAUCUUUGAACCUUCCUCACGGUCACCAUCUCACCGAUCUCAUCGCCCCUUCUUCACUCGUCCCUUACCUUUCACUUUGGCCCGCUCAGAUUUUCAGAAUUUCUUCCUCUCUCCAAUUGGAUCGUCCUCUUCCAUGGCUCAAGCGGUUCGCUCUUCCUCUCCUGCCCGCGGUGGUCCUUUGCUUGGAUAAUUGAUUUUUUUUGUAAAAAUCAGAUCUGAUUCGUGAGGAUAAUUGAUUUGAUUUGAUUUUUUUUAUCUUUUUGUAAAAAUCAGAUCUGAUUCGGUAUGUUAUCUGAUUCGUUAUGUUGUUCGUUGAUAGCUAUAUGA
rnacentral:lncRNA from 1 species